UGUGAGUCCAUGUGGUGAUACCCUUAAUUUUGUGAUGAUUAUAUUGCCAAUGUUUUUGCUCGCUUUGAGAGUUAUUUUAGUGGGGUUGCAAAUCCUAGUUUGUUGGAUCAAGGACCUGAUCUAUUUUAUGUGACUUAUCUGGAUGGCGUUGAUUGUAUUAAACUGUUAAUUUGGAUUGACUUGGGUCAAGCUCAGGAAGUUUGUGCUCGCAAUAGUUGCUUGUUUCCAUUGUGUGCAGGUUCCAAUGAAUGCGACGAUAGUCGACAACGAGGAUGGUUGGCAUAAGGCUUGAAGAGCUAAGAUGUGACCAUGGACGUUGUGCGGGAUCGUGCGGCUCAAAGCAACGCACAAGUUUUGGACAAGGACUAUAUGGAGGCAAACGAGAAGACCAUGUCAAGUGAAGGUUAUUUUGGUAUGUUUACCAAAAUCCACUAAGAAGCAAACCAAGAGAGUCAUUGUGGUGUUGCUUAAGAGUGGAAAGUGUUAUUUACAAGUGGCUAAGUAAAAAUGGCUAUUUGUUUUAGUGUUUUGGGCUUGGCCCAUUCGGUGGGAACCAUGGCUCAUUCAAUGGUGGUGGAAGGCUGAUCCAGCCUUAUAUGUAAGCUGCUAGGUUUUCUCUUGGUGGAAGAUAGAGUAGUCGCCGCUAGGAGGAGAAAAACAGAGCAACCGCCGCACAUUUGAGAGAGAGCUUCCUGUGUGGGAUUUAGCCUAUGUGAGAGAGGCUUGUAACUCCAGGAAUCUGAGAAAUAAAUCCUCAAAUUGUUCCCAGCCUUGCUAUUGUUGAGGUCUGCUGUUUGUCCUUGCAAAUCUUGUUUUUCUGCUGUACUAAUUUUGUCCCUGCGAUUCCUUGGCUAUAAUGGGUUUUUCGUGAUGGAAAAUCAUGUCUAAAUUCAUAUGCAUCCAUCCCUAGCCUUAAAUCCGGUUGUUGUUCAAUUUAUUCAUGGGUUCCUGAGGAUGGCGCAAGAUUUUAUCUUUGGUGAUUUAUUUUGUACGAGUUCAUACUGAGUUCGUCCUCUGUUCUUGUUUCGAUUUGGGGUCGCUGUAUUUCUAGCAAUUUUCUUGGCGUUCUCUAUCGAACGGAAGAGCAUCCGCUGAUGCUACUGGCUCGCUCCCUUCUAUUUUUAUGCUUGGCGUAAUUUUCUCAGGUUUUAAUUCAUCUUCAGCUAUCUGUCGUUCGUCUUUAGGAUAGCAGAGUUGGUCAGUCCAAAUCGGUAGAACUAAAAUCGUGGAUUUCAGUUAGUUGCUAGUCUAGCUGCUGUAUGUGCUACAGAUUCUCGUCUAGUGAAAUCAGCUCCAGGCAAUGUAGUUCUUCUCCAUUGAAAAAGUAUUAUGCUAGUACGUGCAAGUUAAGUACUAGUGUCUUGUGCUAGUGCGUGUUAGUCUUUUGGGUUAAGUAGCUCCCAUUUGAUUAGCCUAUAACCUUGCCGUGUAACCUCUUGGUCUAAUUAAGCACUAAUUUUUCUAGUACACUUUUCCGGUGCUUAUUAUUCUUUGAGCUCUCAAGUCAAGAUUUCAGAAUUGUUGGACUAGUUUCAGUCUGUUUUGACAGACAUAUUUUGUUUCCGCUGCGUAUUCCUCUAUUCCGAGCAUCAUAGUUUUUCCGUAACUAUCGUGCAAAAAAUUUAAGAGGUUAAAUUUUUCAAGGUCGUCAUUCAACCCCCCUUCCGACUCCCGGCAUUCGAUCCUACAAUUGGCAUCAGAGCCCGGUCGGCUCAUCUGUAGGCUUAAUCAGCUCUUGAGCCAUGGAGUCAUUUGCGUACCCGUCGCAUCCUCCUCUGUUCUCUGGGGGUGACUGGCCAUUUUGGAAGUCUCGCAUGAAAACAUUUCUUGAAGCUCAAAGCUAUGCAAUAUGGCAAAUUGUUGUGCGAGAUUUUGCAAUACCUGCUCGUGUUGGUCCUGAGAAUAUAGUUGAUGUUGAAAAUAAUUCCAAAGCUAUUAACAUUCUCUUGUCAGGUUUGGAUAGGAGAGAGCAUGAGCAUGUUGCACACCUAGACACUGCUCACAAAAUUUGGUCCACUCUCAUCACUUACCAUGAGGGCACUAGUGAGAUUAAGACAGCUCAUCAGGACAUUUACAAAGCUGAGUACAACAAAUUUGAGCAGUUACCUAGUGAGUCUCUAGAGGACAUGUUUGGUAGGUUUGAGGUCAUAGUUGGAAAAUUGAGGGGUGUCGGGGUUGUGUACAAUGAUUCUGAGAAAGCUAGACACAUCCUAAACUCUCUUGACCCAAUCUAUGAGAUGAGAAAGAUCGCUAUUCAAGAGUCCCAUAAACCUGAUGAGCUCACUGUAGACAUGUUGUUCUCCAAGCUUAAAACUCACCAAAUAGCCAGUGAAGGUAGAAACCCACCUAGGAACAGGACUCUUGCACUAGUUGGUAGUGAAUGCCAAACUGCACAUGGUCCCUCUAGUGUUUCUGAGUCUGGCAGUGGUCCAUCUUCUGGUUUUUCACUUUCUUGUUUGGUUUCAGUCUUUGAUGAACAACUUGAAUCUUUGCCUGAGGAUGAUCUUGCUCUUUUUGUCCGUCGUUUUUCUCGAGCUUAUAAAAACAUGAGAGAAAGGAAAGGCAAACACACAAAAAUCUGUUUUGAGUGUGGUGUGCAGGGACACUACAGGUCUGAUUGUCCAAAUCUCAAAGAUUAUGGUGAAAAUAGCGGUUGCAAGAACAACUACAUCAAGAAGAAGUCGUUCUCUCGCCAUGAAACCAAGUUCCGGCCAAAGGCUGAGAAGCAUCUUCAGAAGAUGGUUGCUGCAAUUGCUUCGGGUCUACAAUCUGUAGUAGAUUUAAGCGACAUCGACUCUGACCAGAGUGGUGAGGAUGGUCCUCCUUCUCCCAAAGGGAAGGAUACAAAGAAGAAGAAGGCUGAUUGGCUCACCAGCAUGUGUUUUAUGGCUCAUGAGGCUGAUGAGGAGAACGACAACACGGAUGAGGUACAAAUGUCUUAUGAUGAAUUAUAUGCUGAGUAUGUGAAAGUUGAAAAUCUGUUUUUAAUGCAAGCAAAAGUCCUUAAAAAAUGUACGCGCACCAUAAAUGAUAAUCUUGCUCAUAUUGAUUCUCUCACACUUGAAAUCACUACACUGAAGGAUGCUACUGCUAGUGUGCCUUCUCAUGAUAUUGAUGAUUGUGCUGGACGUGAUGUGUUGCAUGCUGAAUUAGAACUUGCUAGGAAUACUCAUGCUAGUAUGUCACAGUUGCUUGAAUCUGCUAGAAAUGAACUUGAUGAUGUUAAGUUGAGCCCUUGCUCCCUUUGUGUUGAAAAUACACCUAUGUCUGUUCCUAAAGUUGCAGACUAUGCCUGCCCAAACUGUGAUAAAUUAAAUGCUAAAAUUAAGAAUCUUGAACACAUGCUUUUUGAUGCAGAGAAUCCUCCUUCUUGUUUGAAGUGCAAAUACUUUGAUGAUAGGGUUAAAAAGUUCAAUCAAAUGAUCCUAGAUGUGCGUGCUCCUAAAAAUUGUGUAAAUUGUCCUAAACUUGAAGAAGAAGUUAAGGAAUUAGGAGCUCAUCUCAGUGAACUCUAUAAGAAAUAUGAUCUUGUUAAAAUUUCAAAUUCUAAGAAACCUACUGAUUCUUGUGAUGCUUCUUCUAGUUCUGUUACUGCUUGUACCUUUUGUACCAUACUUGAGAAUGAUCUUGUUGCAAUGCAUGAAGCGUUUCAGGUCAGGUUUGGCAAGGGUGUUGCAAAUCCUGUGAGUGUAGAUUGUGUGUCUUGUGAGGGAAUAAAACUUGAGAUUCAGGCCUACAGGGAUAGAUAUGGGAGAGCUGUGAGGGUGUCCUCCUUAAAAGAGUGUUUAUCAUGUGAUUCCUAUGCAAAAGAAGUAGCUUACCUCGAGACGACCCUAGAAAAGCUCUCAAGUGGUGAGAAAAGAUUAAACAUGAUUUUAGAUAAGUCAAAGGUGAGUAAAGGUCUAGGUCUUGGUUUUGACUUUGUGGGAGAUUCUAGGAACAACCCUCCAGAACCCAUAGGCAUUCGAAGUGAUGGAGCUAUCUUGGUCCGUGAGGAUGAGAGAGCGACAGUUUUUCAGUCUAGGGGACUUUUGCCCAUGAGUCCAAAUGACAAUGGUACUUCUCCUUCCACUGGUUCUCGUGCUAAAAAAGAGAGAAUAGUUUACCAGUGCACCUAUUGCCACAAGACUAGACACCUUGCUGAGUUUUGCUUCAAAAAACUUAGAGAUGAACGUAGAUCUCAUAUACGUGCUCUUAGGAGCAUGCAACGACAGGCUCGUGCGCUACAUGUUUCUAACACACAUUGUCAGAGUGAGUACUUGCAUGGCUCGGGUAGGAGAGACUAUUUUAAAUCCAACGAGACCGCUUCCAGAGCCCGAUUUACUAGGGGUAUAGGUCAACAAAAUUGUAGGUAUCAAGAUGGCCUUGCAUUGCAUGCUAAUAACACAUGUAUUUCUGCUCCUGCAAAGGGAGUGACCCAGUACUGGAUUAAAAAAUGUUUACUUACUAAUCCCAGUACUGAGUCACUUCGUUGUCGCUCUUUUGUGUAGGUUGGUUGUGAGGGUUUGGCGAACAAGUGGCUUAUUGACUCUGGGUGUUCACGCCACAUGACUGGUGAUACCAAAUGGUUUGCCUCCCUCUGCAAAGCGUCUGGUGAUGAAAAGAUCACUUUUGGGAAUGAUGCACAGGGUUGCAUUGUGGCCAAAGGAACAGUCUGAGUCAACGAGAACUGUCUUCUCAAGGAUGUAGCCCUUGUAAGUAAGUUGAGUUAUAAUUUGAUUUCAGUUUCACAGCUUCUUGAUGAGGGUUUUGAGGUUCGUUUCAAGAAAUUUGCUUCUCAUGUUCUUGACUCUACUGGUGAUCUUGUUUUUGGUAUUUCUCAUGUUGGUAAAAUCUUUGGUGCUGAUUUUGGAGUGCUUUUGUCCUCUGGUCCACGGUGUUUUGUGGCCUCUUCUAAGAUGAGUGAGUUUCAGUUGUGGCAUCGUCGCUUGGGGCAUGUUGGUUUUGACCACUUGAUUCGAAUUGGCGGCCUUGAUCUUUUGCGAGGUUUGCCUAAGCUCAAAGCCACAAAGGACAUUGUGUGUGCCCCAUGCCGGCAUGGAAAGCAAGUCUCUGCCUCUCACCCUCCAAUCAAUCUGGUGAACACAACCAGACCCGCUCAAUUGUUACAUAUGGACACAGUUGGUCCAACUCGGGUCCGGUCAGCUGGUGGGAAGUGGUACGUGCUUGUCAUCAUAGAUGAUUUUUCUCGAUACUCUUGGGUUUUCUUUAUGGAUCCUAAAUCGGAAGCAUUCAAUCAUUUUCAUUAUUUGGCUUUAAGGCUAUUCAAUGUAUUUCCUGGUGAGAUGAAAACUAUUCGUAGUGAUAAUGGUUUGGAGUUCAAAAAUUCUUCCUUUAUCGAUUUCCUUGCUGAGAGAGGAAUUGAGCACCAAUUUUCUUCUCCUCGCACACCUCAACAAAAUGGUGUUGUGGAAAGGAAAAAUAGAACUCUUGUGGAGAUGGCAAGGACCAUGCUUGAUGAAUUUGGCACACUGCGGUGUUAUUGGGCCGAAGCCAUUAGUACAGCUUGCUAUGUGUCAAAUCGUGUUUUUCUUCGGAGUUCCUUGAAAGUGACCUCUUAUGAGUUGAGAUUUGGUAGAAAGCCUAAUAUUUCUCAUUUGCGGGUGUUUGGUUGCAAGUGUUUUAUCCUAAAGAAUGGCCUGCUUGACAAGUUUGAGUCGCGCACUUCUGAAGGUAUCUUUCUUGGUUACCCUACUCACAUGAAGGGCUAUCGUGUUUUAAAUUUAGAAUCUAACCGUGUGGUAGAGACUUGCGAUGUAACUUUUGAUGAGGCUAGCCCAGCUAGACUCGAGUUUUUAUGUACACCACAAGUUUCUGAAACCUUAUUUGUUGAAGAAGAUAAUGAGGAUGGUGUGGGACAAAACCCCAUAUCCCUUGCACCUGCCACAGAACCUGCUACCACUUCUGUUCCAAUGGAAGAUGGUCCUGUACCUAGUACUUCAUCUAAAACAUCCGUACCCUCAACAUCGAUGGCUUCUGAUCCUACCUCCACUUCAGCUGAGGCAGAGGCUACCACAACUAUUUCCUCACCUGCUUCUGAGGUCCUUCAGGGAUCUCGACGUCUUCAUCAUGCUCACCCACCAGAUCUGAUAAUCGGCAACAUCUCUGAGCGUACUUUGCGCCCCAGGUCCACUCAUUUCUCAGACUUUGCACAUACUGCAUUUGUUGCAUCUUUUGAGCCCCAAGAUGUUAGCCAUGCAUUAGAAGAUGAAAACUGGAUUAGGGCAAUGCAUGAGGAGUUAGAGAACUUUGAGAGAAACAAGGUAUGACAACUUGUAAAAACCCCAUUUGACCAGAGUAUAAAUGUUAUUGGAACCAAGUGGGUUUUCAAAAAUAAACAGGGAGAGGACGGCCAAGUUGUUCGCAACAAGGCUCGCCUAGUUGCUCAAGGUUAUUCUCAAAUUCAAGGUUUUGAUUUUGAUGAGACCUUUGCACCCGUUGCACGGUUGGAGGCGAUACGUAUUAUACUUGCUUACUCUGCUUCCAAGGGUUUUAAGUUAUUUCAAAUGGAUGUCAAAAGUGCUUUUCUAAAUGGUUUCAUUGAUGAAGAAGUUUAUGUAAAACAACCCCCUGGUUUUGAAAAUGAUAAGCUCCCAACCAUGUCUAUAAAUUGCAGAAAACUCUUUAUGGUCUUAAGCAAGCCCCUAGAGCUUGGUACGAUAGGCUCAAAGGGUUUUUAAUCAAGAAAGGUUUUAAAAUGGGUGAAGCUGAUAAGACCUUGUUCACUCUUAGGCAUCAUAAUGAACUACUUAUAGUGCAAAUUUAUGUAGAUGAUAUCAUAUUUGGUGGCUCGUCUAAUGCUCUUUGUGCUAAGUUUUCCAAAGACAUGAGUGAUGAAUUUGAGAUGUCCAUGAUGGGUGAGUUGUCCUUCUUUCUUGGACUGCAAAUCAAGCAAACAAAGCAGGGCACCUUUGUAUAUCAAGGCAAGUACACGAAGGACAUGUUAAAGAAGUUUGGGAUGAGCGAUUCCAAGCCACUCCAUACCCCAAUGUCCACUGCCACAAUACUUGAUGUAGAUGAAAAUGGUGAGGUGGUGGACCAGCGAGAAUACAAAAGCAUGAUUGGCUCACUACUGUACUUGACUGCAACGAGGCCAGACAUACAAUUUGCGGUGUGCCUGUGUGCUCAUUUUCAGGCUUCCCCAAGAGACUCCCAUAAGCAAGCCGUCAAACGCAUUUUAAGGUACCUCCAAGGAACACCUGAUUUUGGCCUAUGGUUUUCUAGUUCUUCUGGUUUAGGAGUUAGGGGGUUUGCAGAUUCAGACUUUGGUGGGUGUAGGAUAGACCACAAGAGCACUUCUGGCACUUGUCACUUUCUAGAUACUUCCCUUAUUUCUUGGUCUUCUAGGAAGCAAUCUAGUGUAGCACAGAGCACAGCCAAGGCAGAGUAUGUAGCAGCUGCGAGCAGUUGUAGUCAGAUUCUUUGGAUCUCUUCUACUUUACAGGAUUUUGGGAUUUUCAUUUCUUCUGUUCCACUUUUCUGCGAUAACACUAGUGCGAUAAGUAUUGCUAAGAAUCCAGUCCAACACUCUAGAACUAAACACAUUGAGCUGCGCUACCACUUCAUAAGAGACCACGUGGAGAAAGGUGAUAUAGAGCUCAUGUGUGUUGAUACUGAGCAUCAGCUUGCCGAUACUUUUACCAAACCUUUGGAUGUUAGUCGUUUUGCUUCUUUGCGGGGAGAUUUGGGGUUCGUCGGCCCUUAUGGGAUCUUGUGAAGGGGGAGUUUGUGUUUUUUCUUUGUUCAUAUUUAUCAUAUUGCACCUUGCAUCAUAUGUAAGAUACAUUUGAGCUUUGAUGAUUCUUUUGUUGAAGAAAUGUUCAUAAUGAAGUUGCUCUUGGCCAUGUUAUGCUUAUUGUCUAGCUCAUCCUGUCAUGGUUUGCCAUAUAUGGAUAAACCUUUGCAUGCUACUUUUAAUUAGAAAUGAAGUUGAACUAAAUAAACAUGUUGACCAUAUGAUGAGUUCUAUGCUAGUUGAUCACCUUGACUUGAGAAUCUACUUGUGCUUUGUAUUGCAACUCUGAUCUAUGUUGUGGCUAGCUAGUUUGGACUCCAUUUGAUAUCAUACCUGGAACCACUAGAGACUUGUUUUGCUUAGACCUAUGUGGCUCGGGUCGGAUAUGGUCUACUGUCUUGUCAAGUCCCUAGUCUUGCUUUCAUGAGUUACUUUUUAUCUGCAUUUUUUGUGAAGAAUCACUCAAGAUACCUGCUCGUGCAGGAGGUGGUAUUUUGCUUGUGCCUAUUCCAUACUUUCUUAAUCAAACCACUCAAGGUACCUGCUCGUGCAGGAGGUGGUACUUUGCUUGUGACUUAACAUAAAAUCAAAAUCAAAUCACUCAAGGUACCUGCUCGUGCAGGAGGUGGUACUUUGCUUGUGCCUUUUCAUAAAAUCAAAAUAAAAUCACUCAAGGUACCUGCUCGUGCAGGAGGUGGUACCUUGCUUGUGCCUUUUCAUAGAAUUUCUAAGUGUAUCAUUUUGUGUUGACUUAAUCACUCAAGGUGCCUGCUCGUGUAGGAGGUGGCACUUUGCUUGUGAGAUGAUCAACACAUCGAGAAGGUUACAUUUUUGAUCGGGUGUGCCUCCUAGUCAUUGCUUAGCGCUAGGUUGUAAUGCCCUGCAAUGUUUAGUCUCUUUUCCAUGUGUUUGCCUACAUAAGAACUCAUCAUGUGUGAAAACUAAAGUUACUAAGAACCUGAGUGUCUUGUUGCAUCUAGCUCAAGGAUUUUCUCUAUAUGUCUUAGUAUGACUAGAUGAGCUCUUAUCAUGGCCCAGUAGCAUUUCUAUCUCAUGUGCUUCAACUGAAUAAUCUUCAAUGCUCGUACAAUUGCAUAAAUUCCACUUCAUGCAUACAUGCUCGAUCUUGAUGUUUUCUCAUAUUCAUAAAUUGAGGGGGAGGCAUCUCCCUUGAUGCUUAUAAUGCCAAAGGGGGAGAAAUAGGGCAGUGCAUAUGUUGCAAAUUGAGCACUGUAUGAGUCUCAGUAUGUACACAAGCUGAGGGGGAGUUAGGGGGAGCCAUUCAUAUUUCAAAAAAAUCUUGGUUCUUUCCCUUGUGAACUUGUGAAAACAAGGUUGAUUUCUCUCCGAUGAGUUUUUGUUGGAAGUGAAGCUUUGGAUCCGGGUGUUAGCUUCACUCUUCACCUUGUCCACUUGGUCAUGUCUACAUUUUUUUUCUUUAGGACCAAGUGUGAUUUUGCAACUUUCCUUCUCUCUGUUAAAACUAAAACUCUAAUUUUUCUUCCUGAGAUCUGGGUUGGAAAUAUAAACAUCAAGGGGGAGAUUGUGAGUCCAUGUGGUGAUACCCUUAAUUUUGUGAUGAUUAUAUUGCCAAUGUUUUUGCUCGCUUUGAGAGUUAUUUUAGUGGGGUUGCAAAUCCUAGUUUGUUGGAUCAAGGACCUGAUCUGAUCUAUUUUAUGUGACUUAUCUGGAUGGCGUUGAUUGUAUUAAACUGAUAAUUUGGAUUGACUUGGGUCAAGCUCAGGAAGUUUGUGCUCGCAAUAGUUGCUUGUUUCCAUUGUGUGCAGGUUCCAAUGAGUGCGACGGUAGUCGACAAUGAGGAUGGUUGGCAUAAGGCUUGAAGAGCUAAGAUGUGACCAUGGACGUUGUGCGGGAUCAUGCGGCUCAAAGCAACGCACAAGUUUUGGACAAGGACUAUAUGGAGGCAAACAAGAAGACCAUGUCAAGUGAAGGUUAUUUUGGUAUGUUUACCAAAAUCCACUAAGAAGCAAACCAAGAGAGUGAUUGUGGUGUUGCUUAAGAGUGGAAAGUGUUAUUUACAAGUGGCUAAGUAAAAUGGCUAUUUGUUUUAAUGUUUUGGGCUUGGCCCAUUCGGUGGGAACCAUGGCCCAUUCAAUGGCGGUGGAAGGCUGAUCCAGCCUUAUAUGUAAGCUGCUAGGUUUUCUCUUGGUGGAAGAUAGAGUAGCCGCUGCUAGGAGGAGAAAAACAGAGCAGCCGCCGCACAUUUGAGAGAGAGCUUCCUGUGUGGGAUUUAGCCUAUGUGAGAGAGGCUUGUAACUCCAGAAAUCUGAGAAAUAAAUCCUCAAAUUGUUCCCAGCCUUGUUAUUGUUGAGG
rnacentral:lncRNA from 1 species